GGUUACGGCCAUACUACCCUGAACACGCCCAAUCUCAUCUGAUUUUGGAAGCUAACCAGGGUCAGACCUAGUUAGUUAGGGAGACCACCUGGGAAUACCGGGUGCCGUAGACU
rnacentral:rRNA from 1 species